rnacentral:lncRNA from 1 species
CUCUCCCUGCAGCGCUGCCUGGAAGAGGAGUAUAUGAGGCCUUGCCACCCCUCUGAGGCAGCCCUGGAGCCCACCCUGGCAGGUGAGGACACGGAGCAGGGCCCAGAACACCCAGCCUCCUGCUCCCACCCCACACUUGUACACACCCUAGAAGAGCUGGGCACUGUCUCAGCCCAAUCUCUCCUUCAGAGCUAAAGGAACAGAAGAAGGCCAUGGAGCAGGAGCUGCAGGCAUCUGUGGGGCCUUCUUGUGUCUCUCCCAACCACAGCGGCCCUUGGGGUCCUCCACACAGGGCCUCAGACCCCCGCGUCCCCUCUGCGGGGUUGCACCUCUCCAGUGCUGCCUGCCUGCACCUCCUCUGGAGCCCUACCUUCGACCUCGAGGCCAGUCAGCUACCCACCGCUGGGGAUGGCAGCUUCAGUGCAGCCCCAGGGAAGGGCCAGCUUCCACACCCAUGUCCAGUGCAGCACCCCAAGCCCCAGCCUGAAGGGCUGGUCACCGAGUAGGCUCUGGCUUCUGCCACAGCGCACCUGUCUGCGC